GUCACCUGUGUGACCUCUGUGACCUCUCACCCCGUCAGCCCUCUCACUGAGGAGAGUGAGCACCCGUGCAGACAGGGUUACGGUGACGGAGCGGAGAACCUCACUGGGCGGGCUGUAGGCACGCAGUCACACAGACCCACUGUGCGCCCAUUCCUCGCAGACACAGUGUGUGCCCAUUCCUCACACAGACCCACUGUGCGCCCAUUCGUCACACACACUGUGUGCCCAUUCCUCACAGACCCACUGUGUGCCCAUUCCUCACAGACACACACACUGUGUGCCCAUUCCUCACAGACCCACUGUGCGCCCAUUCCUCACACAGACCCACUGUGUGCCCAUUCCUCUCAGAGCCACUGUGUGCCUGUUCCUCACAGACCCACUGUGUGCCCAUUCCUCACACACACACUGUGCCCAUUCCUCACAGACACACUGUGCGCCCAUUCCUCACAGACCCACUGUGUGCCCAUUCCUCACACACACUGUGCCCAUUCCUCACAGACCCACUGUGUGCCCAUUCCUCACAGACACACUGUGCGCCCAUUCCUCACAGACCCACUGUGCGCCCAUUCCUCACACACACUGUGUGCCCAUUCCUCACAGACCCACUGUGUGCCCAUUCCUCACACAGACACACUGUGUGCCCAUUCCUCACACAGACACACUGUGUGCCCAUUCCUCACAGACACACACACUGUGUGCCCGUUCCUCACAGACCCACUGUGUGCCCGUUCCUCACAGACCCACUGUGCGCCCGUUCCUCACACACACUGUGUACCAUUCCUCACACAGACCCACUGUGUGCCCAUUCCUCACACACACUGUGUGCCCAUUCCUCACAGACCCACUGUGUGCCCAUUCCUCACACACACUGUUUACCAUUCCUCACAGACCCACUGUGUGCCCAUUCCUCACAGACACACUGUGUGCCCAUUCCUCACAGACCCACUGUGUGCCCAUUCCUCACAGACAUACUGUGCGCCCAUUCCUCACAGAGCCACUGUGCGCCCAUUCCUCACAGAGCCACUGUGCGCCCAUUCCUCACACAGACACACUGUGUGCCCAUUCCUCACACAGACACACUGUGUGCCCGUUCCUCACAGACCCACUGUGCGCCCAUCCUCACACAGACCCACUGUGUGCCCAUUCCUCACACAGACACACUGUGCGCCCAUUCCUCACACAGACACACUGUGUGCCCAUUCCUCACACACACACUGUGCCCAUUCCUCGCAGACACACUGUGCGCCCAUUUCUCACAGACCCACUGUGCGCCCAUUCCUCACAGGCACACCGCGCGCCCCUCUCAGUGUUCUGCGCACCAUGCCCCUCUCAUUGGUCGCCCGCCGGUCCCGGCAGUGCUGGGCGCUCCGUGCCGUGAGGAGGAGCGGGCUGUGGGGACGGCGCGGGCAGCAUGGCUGGGGCCUGCCGCCCUGCGGUGCCUAGAGCGCCUUGCCGCUCUGAACGCCUGAGCCCGAGCUCGGCAGCGCAGGCCACAGCUGCUCUUGGGGUCCUGGCUGCCGCGUCCAGUCUCUGCUGGGCCGCCCGUCGGCCGCCGCUGGGGGUUCCCGAGAGAGAAGUCGUCGUCCUCCAAGGACGCCUCCCUGUGCCGCAGAUUCCUGGGGCCUCCGUCCUGCCGGCCGGCUGAAGGCAUUGCUGUCGAUUUCUGGGGCGGCCGGCGUUUGACGGGAGCAGCAGAGUCUCAGUGGGAGGAAUGAGGAGGUUAGUCCGGAGCUCAGACCUCACGCGCACCCCGAGCCGUGCGAGCUGACAGGCGGCGGUUCCUGGGCAGCGGGGAGAGACGGGUUGAGUCUGCACUGCAUCGCCGUCGCGGGGGCUCGCACAGGCCGACCCCGUCCGUCUCUGGUUCCCUCCAGAGUCAGACGACCUGCAGCCGGCACUGGUGCCUGGUGCCCUGGAGUUGUGCGUGCCCCUGUCCAAGGGCUCCACGGCCUCCCAGGAGGAGAUCCCUGGCAGCCGGGGAGCUCUGAGCCCCAGGGGAGCCUGCUGGUCAGAGGCCGCGUGUGUGAGCGGCAGGGUGCCCCGUGCCGACCUCGGGCGCAGCCGGCGCUGCCUUCCCUCCUCGCAGAGCCUCGCAGACUUCCCUCGUGGCCGCCCCGUCCCGGCUGUAUGGGAGGGAGGGUCAUGGCCUGCCCCGUCCCGGCUGAACGGGAGGGUCAUGGCCUGCCCCAUCCUGACCGUAUGGGAGGGCUGUGGCCUGCCCCGUCCUGGCCGAAUGGGAGGGCCGUGGCCUGCCCCGUCCUGGCUGAACGGGAGGGUCGUGGCCUGCCCUGUCCUGGCUAAACAGGAGGGUCAUGGCCUGCCCCAUCCUGACCGUACGGGAGGGUCAUGGCCUGCCCCGUCCUGGCUGAACGGGAGGGCCAUGGCCUGCCCCAUCCUGACCGUACGGGAGGGCCAUGGCCUGCCCCGUCCUGGCUGAACGGGA
rnacentral:lncRNA from 1 species